CCAACUGUUUCUAUUAAAGAAAUACCUUGACCAAUGCUAUGCACCAAAAAUCAAAUCUUUACAUCUGAAUUCCUUUCCUUUUGUUCCUCCGGUGAGUGAGAGUCGAGGAUUCGAUGAGAGGGAGGAGUGGGACUGUCCGAGCUCGACGCCGGGCUGUCAAGGCCACGGCUGCCGGCGCUGCAUGCGUGGCAGCAGCCCGCCGGCCGCUCGCGGCCAAGGCAGACGGAGUCGGGGCACGGCAGUGAGGCUGGUGGCUGGCAAGAGGGAGGUGGUGAGCAGAGGGUAAGGUGAGAAAGAGGAGGCGAUGAGUGAGGGACCGAGGUUAGAGCAGGCGGCGGCGGAAGAUCUUGGAGGGAGAAGAGGCGGUGGUUCUGGGAGAGAGAAAAAGCGAAUUAUAGAGACAGAUGGGAGGAGGAGAGAGAGGUGGUUCCCGGCGACGAAUCGCCGCGAAGAGGGGCGGCGGCGUGGCUUCAUGUGGGAGAGAGAGAGGGCGGCGGAUAGAGAGGGGAAGAUGGGUGUGAGGAUAGAGAGAGAAAGAGAACCGAUAGUGAGGAGAGAGAGAGUGAAUAUUUGGCUUUUCAUUUCAGAUUUUUAGGUGUUCAAAAGCUGAUGGAUUUUCUUUAAUGGGCCGAUUUCUAUUAUCAGUUGGGCCGUUUCUUUUCUUUUAUUUGAUGGUAUGUGUUUUCAUUACUUGGGCCCUUUCAAUUUGAGCAAGCCUCUUAUAUUUUCUUUGGGCUCUAUUUAUUUAUUUAAUUGGGCCUGUAAGUGUUUUCACUAAUUUUAUCAAUUUUCUAUAAGAUUUAGUUUUUAUAUAUUUAAGUAUAUUAUUAAUUAUUGAUUACUUUUACUAAGCUAUCAUUUAUUUUGAAACUAGUAUCCUCAAUAAAUUACCAAUGUUUAUUCCUAUAAUCUGGGCUGAGUGUAUCAAUAGUUAGCAAUUCUCCUUUAUAUUUACAAGUUAGAAUAGCACCUCGAGACCUAUUAAAGAAUAGAUUUCUUGUAGGUUCGAAUAAUCAAGGGCAGUAGAGAAGAGCAAGCAAGCACUGAAUCUCCACUAUUGAGGUGGGCUAUAUUUUGGUAAAAUGUAUCUUGAGUUAUAUAAGCUCUGAUAUUUCAUGAAAGUUAAUUGUUUAUCCAAUAUAAAUGUUUUUAUGUGCGUUCUGUAAUUGUUUAAUGCUCGCAUAAGCAUCGAUCGAGAUUCUCAUUUGACCUAACACGUUAGAUGAGGAUUGUGUACACAAGGUUAGUGGCUCAAUGGGUUGAUCGCCAUUGGGAACUAACAAAGCUAAGCAGGCGUUAUAAGGGUGCUCCUGGACACGUUCCAAAGCACAAAUGAUGAUGUGUUCCGUNNNNNNNNNNNNNNNNNNNNNNNNNNNNNNNNNNNNNNNNNNNNNNNNNNNNNNNNNNNNNNNNNNNNNNNNNNNNNNNNNNNNNNNNNNNNNNNNNNNNNNNNNNNNNNNNNNNNNNNNNNAAAAGCGAAUUAUAGAGACAGAUGGGAGGAGGAGAGAGAGGUGGUUCCCGGCGACGAAUCGCCGCGAAGAGGGGCGGCGGCGUGGCUUCAUGUGGGAGAGAGAGAGGGCGGCGGAUAGAUGGGUGUGAGGAUAGAGAGAGAAAGAGAACCGAUAGUGAGGAGAGAGAGAGUGAAUAUUUGGCUUUUCAUUUCAGUAUUUUUAGGUGUUCAAAAGCUGAUGGAUUUUCUUUAAUGGGCCGAUUUCUAUUAUCAGUUGGGCCGUUUCUUUUCUUUUAUUUGAUGGUCUGUGUUUUCAUUACUUGGGCCCUUUCAAUUUGAGCAAGCCUCUUAUAUUAUAUUUCUUUGGGCUCUAUUUAUUUAUUUAAUUGGGCCUGCAAGUGUUUUCACUAAUUUUAUCAAUUUUCUAUAAGAUUUAGUUUUUAUAUAUUUAAGUAUAUUAUUAAUUAUUGAUUACUUUUACUAAGCUAUCAUUUAUUUUUGAAACUAGUAUCCUCAAUAAAUUACCAAUGUUUAUUCCUAUAAUCUGGGCUAAGUGUAUCAAUAGUUAGCAAUUCUCCUUUAUAUUUAGAAGUUAGAACAGCACCUCGAGACCUAUUAAAGAAUAGAUUUCUUGUAGGUUCGAAUAAUCAAGGGCAGUAGAGAAGUUCAAGCAAGCACUGAAUCUCCACUAUUGAAGUGGGCUAUAUUUUGGUAAAAUGUAUCUUGAGUUAUAUAAACUCUGAUAUUUCAUGAAAGUUAAUUGUUUAUCCAAUAUAAAUGUUUUUAUGUGCGUUCUGUAAUUGUUUAAUGCUCGCAUAAGCAUCGAUCGAGAUUCUCAUUUGACCUAACACAUUAGAUGAGGAUUGUGUACACAAGGUUAGUGGCUCAAUGGGUUGAUCGCCAUUGGGAACUAACAAAGCUAAGCAGGCGUUAUAAGGGUGCUCCUGGACACGUUCCAAAGCACAAAUGAUGAUGUGUUCCGUCUGGGUAGCGUCCCAGGUUCACUUAAGCGGCAGUAAGUGAUCCGACGGUGGUUAAAGGCCCGGGAUCAUAAGCAGCGAGUAACAAUCGAACGUUACAUGGGGCCCUCAACGUGAAAAAUGUUUUGUCAUGCUUAGAAGUGGAUUUCUAUUUUCAAAACCUUCUGAGUUAUGAUUAUGAUAUUGGAUAAACUGCUCUAUUUAAUUAUUUCAUAAAAUAUCUUGUAAACUCUUGUUCACUGAGUACAUUAGUACUCAGUCCAAAUUAUUUUCAAAUAUUUUCAGGUUGAUCGGUUGAUGCAGACGGGGCUGAGCUGAGGCUAGAUACCACGAUGUCUUUUGCUUCCGCUAAUGACUAGCUUGUCAUCUCAUCUUUUAAAUUUCCUAAAUUGAGAAUUUCCAUUAUGUAGUACUAUAUUAUCUCGUUGGGCUUAGACUCUUAACCCAUAUUUCUAUUAAUGAAGCUAUCAUUGAUUAUGAUCAAAGUCACGAAACUAAACUUAUGCGAUCCUGAGUGCGAUUAUUG
rnacentral:lncRNA from 1 species